GACGAACGCUGGCGGCGUGCCUAAUACAUGCAAGUAGAACGCUGAAGAGAGGACUUGCUCUUCUUGGAUGAGUUGCGAACGGGUGAGUAACGCGUAGGUAACCUGCCUGGUAGCGGGGGAUAACUAUUGGAAACGAUAGCUAAUACCGCAUAAGAGUAGAUAUCGCAUGACAUUUGCUAAAAGGUGCAAUUGCAUCACUACCAGAUGGACCUGCGUUGUAUUAGCUAGUUGGUGAGGUAACGGCUCACCAAGGCAACGAUACAUAGCCGACCUGAGAGGGUGAUCGGCCACACUGGGACUGAGACACGGCCCAGACUCCUACGGGAGGCAGCAGUAGGGAAUCUUCGGCAAUGGACGGAAGUCUGACCGAGCAACGCCGCGUGAGUGAAGAAGGUUUUCGGAUCGUAAAGCUCUGUUGUAAGAGAAGAACGAGUGUUGAGAGUGGAAAGUUUCACACUGUGACGUAUCUUACCCGAAGGACGCUAACA
rnacentral:rRNA from 1 species